rnacentral:miRNA from 1 species
AAGAAGAAAGAUGAGAGGGGAGGAUGAGAGGGAGGAGUAACAAAAGUGAAAACAAAAACUAAACACUCAAAUCUAUUUCAAAUUGUUUUCACUUUUGUUACUCAUCUCUUCUAUCCUCCCCUAUGAUCCUCUCUUUCA